rnacentral:rRNA from 1 species
UACGUAGGGGGCUAGCGUUGUCCGGAUUUAUUGGGCGUAAAGAGCGUGUAGGCGGUCCGGUAAGUCCGUUGUGAAAGUCAGGGGCUCAACCCUUGAAUGCCGGCGGAUACUGUCGGGCUAGAGUCCGGAAGAGGCGAGUGGAAUUCCCGGUGUAGCGGUGAAAUGCGCAGAUAUCAGGAAGAACACCCGUGGCUAAGGCGGCUCUCUAGUACGGUACUGACGCUGAGACGCGAAAGCGUGGGGAGCGAACCGG